rnacentral:rRNA from 1 species
AGAGUUUGAUCAUGGCUCAGGACGAACGCUGGCGGCGUGCUUAACACAUGCAAGUGGAGCGACGAACCAGGGCUUGCCCUGGGGCAAAGCCGCGAACGGGUGAGUAACACGUGGGUAACCUGCCCCGAUGACCGGGACAACCCGAGGAAACUCGGGCUAAUACCGGAUGUGGAUCUCUCACAUCAGUGAGUUAUCUAAAGGUAGCUUCGGCUUCCGCAUUGGGAUGGGCCCGCGGCCCAUUAGCUUGUUGGUGAGGUAAUGGCUUACCAAGGCUUCGAUGGGUAGCUGGUCUGAGAGGACGAUCAGCCACACUGGGACUGAGACACGGCCCAGACUCCUACGGGAGGCAGCAGUGGGGAAUCUUGCGCAAUGCGCGAAAGCGUGACGCAGCAACGCCGCGUGGGGGAAGACGGCCUUCGGGUUGUAAACCCCUUUCAGGAGGGACGAAGGUCAUACGGUUAAUAGCCGGCAUGACUGACGGUACCUCCAGAAGAAGCCCCGGCUAACUACGUGCCAGCAGCCGCGGUAAUAC